rnacentral:rRNA from 1 species
GGACGAACGCUGGCGGCGUGCUUAACACAUGCAAGUCGAACGGAAAGGCCCUGCUUUUGUGGGGUGCUCGAGUGGCGAACGGGUGAGUAACACGUGAGUAACCUGCCCUUGACUUUGGGAUAACUUCAGGAAACUGGGGCUAAUACCGGAUAGGAGCUCCUGCUGCAUGGUGGGGGUUGGAAAGUUUCGGCGGUUGGGGAUGGACUCGCGGCAUAUCAGCUUGUUGGUGGGGUAGUGGCUUACCAAGGCUUUGACGGGUAGCCGGCCUGAGAGGGUGACCGGCCACAUUGGGACUGAGAUACGGCCCAGACUCCUACGGGAGGCAGCAGUGGGGAAUAUUGCACAAUGGGCGGAAGCCUGAUGCAGCAACGCCGCGUGCGGGAUGACGGCCUUCGGGUUGUAAACCGCUUUCGCCUGUGACGAAGCGUGAGUGACGGUAAUGGGUAAAGAAGCACCGGCUAACUACGUG